UAAUAAUAAUGAUAAUAAAUGACUAUUCAUCAAAAUAGCUCAAGAAAGAAAGAAAUUCCUAGUCCUUACACGUCCUGCUUUCUUUGUAUGUGUCAGUCUUCCUUUGAUCAUAAGGUCUUUGUAUGAGGGAGUGUCUUUACUUUUUCUGUCUUGUAAAGCACACACUAUUGACACUAAACAGACAAAUAAUAGAUAUGUCACAAACAAACAA